AAUAUUGGACAAUGAGCGCAAGCCUGAUCCAGCCAUGCCGCGUGUGUGAAGAAGGUCUUCGGAGUGUAAAGCACUUUACUUUGGGAGGAAGGGCAGUUAACGAAUACUUAACUGUUUUGACGUUACUAAAAUAAUCAGCACGCGCUAACUUCGUUCCAGCCGCCGCGGUAAUACGAAGGGUGCAAGCGUGAACCGGCAUUACUGGACGUAAAGAGCGCGAAGGUAGUUAGUUAAGUUGGAAGUGAAAGCCCCGAGCUAAACCUGGGAAUUGCUUUCAAAACUGGCGAGCUAGAGUACGGUAGAGGGUGGUGGAAGUUCCUGUGUAGCGGUGAAAUGCGUAGAUAUAGGAAGGAACAUCAGUGGCAAAGGCGAACACCUGGACUGAUACUGACACUGAGGUGCGGAAGCGUGGGGAGCAAACAGGA
rnacentral:rRNA from 1 species